ensembl:ncRNA lncRNA:CR45287 long non-coding RNA:CR45287
CGGUUGGGGAUCGGGUGAAGGGGUUCGACUGCUGCUCCUCUGCGACACGUCAAUUGUAAUAACAAUAACUGCUCAAGACAGCCCAAAAGUAACACAUCCGCAGGAGGACACAAUGGAGGGCAAUGGACAGGAACGAACAGGACAGGAGGACUCCAGGACUCCAGGACUUCAGGAAUGGGGACAGGAGAUGGAGACAAGCUGGCUUGUUAGCACACGACACGCUGUGGUCACCAAAUGAGCAGCUGACCCAAAAGGGUUACGGGCUACACUGAGAGAAAAUAACCAUU